ACACGACUACAUUAGAUACCCCGGUAGUCCUAGCCGUAAACGAUACUCGCUAGGUGUCGGCCACGGUGCGACCGUUGUCGGUGCCGUAGGGAAGCCGUGAAGCGAGCCACCUGGGAAGUACGGCCGCAAGGCUGAAACUUAAAGGAAUUGGCGGGGGAGCACCACAACGGGCGGGCUUGCGGUUUAAUUGGAUUCAACGCCGGAAAUCCUACCGGGACCGACAGCAACAUGAAGGCCAGGCUGAAGACUUUGCCGGAUUAGCUG
rnacentral:rRNA from 1 species